rnacentral:rRNA from 1 species
GACGAACGCUGGCGGCGUGCUUAACACAUGCAAGUCGAACGAAGUGGCGAACGGGUGAGUAACGCGUAAUCAACCUGCCCUUCAGAGGGGGACAACAGUUGGAAACGACUGCUAAUACCGCAUACUGAAGGCGGGGGUUGCGUCUGAUGAGCUCGUGGGAGGGGUAACGGCCCACCAAGGCGAUGAUCAGAAGCUGGUCUGAGAGGAUGACCGGCAACAUUGGGACUGAGACACGGUCCAGAAUCCUACGGGAGGCAGCAGGGGGGAAUAUUGGACAAUGGGCGAAAGCCUGAUCCAGCCAUGCCGCGUGUGUGAAGAAGGUCUUCGGAUUGUAAAGCACGUUAAGUUGGGAGGCGUUACCAACAGAAUAAGCACCGGCUAACUUCGUGCCAGCAGCCGCGGUAAUAC